rnacentral:rRNA from 1 species
AGAGUUUGAUCAUGGCUCAGGAUGAACGCUGGCGGCGUGCCUAACACAUGCAAGUCGAACGAUCCUUCGGGAUAGUGGCGCACGGGUGAGGAACACGUAGCUAACCUGCCUUCAGGUGCGGGAUAACGCCUCGAAAGAGGCGCUAAUACGGCAUAAGCUCCCGGGAUGUAGAGGCCAGGGAGAAAAGAUUAAUCGCCUGAAGAGGGGGCUGCGGCCCAUCAGGUAGUUGGUGGGGUAACGGCCUACCAAGCCAACGACGGGUCGGGGACCUGAGAGGGUGACCCCCCACACUGGGACUGAGACACGGCCCAGACUCCUACGGGAGGCAGCAGUGAGGAAUAUUGCACAAUGGGCGCAAGCCUGAUGCAGCGACGCCGCGUGAGUGAAGAAGGCCUUCGGGUCGUAAAGCUCUUUUCUGUGUGACGAGCAAGGACGGUAGCACAGGAAUAAGUGUCGGCUAACUACGUGCCAGCAGCCGCGGUAAUUC